ACCAGACUCCUACGGGAGGCAGCAGUGAGGAAUAUUGGUCAAUGGCCGAGAGGCUGAACCAGCCAAGUCGCGUGAGGGAUGACGGCCCUACGGGUUGUAAACCUCUUUGGACGGGGAGCAAGGCCGCCGACGUGUCGGCGGAAGGAGAGUGCCCGUAGAACAAGCAUCGGCUAACUCCGUGCCAGCAGCCGCGGUAAUACGGAGGAUGCGAGCGUUAUCCGGAUUUAUUGGGUUUAAAGGGUGCGCAGGCGGAGGUGCAAGUCAGCGGUCAAAUUGCGGGGCUCAACCCCGUACUGCCGUUGAAACUGCAUCCCUUGAGUGCGCGAGAAGUAUGCGGAAUGCGUGGUGUAGCGGUGAAAUGCAUAGAUAUCACGCAGAACUCCGAUUGCGAAGGCAGCAUACCGGCGCGCAACUGACGCUCAUGCACGAAAGCGUGGGUAUCGAACAGGAUUAGAUACCCGAGUAC
rnacentral:rRNA from 1 species